rnacentral:rRNA from 1 species
GAUGAACGCUGGCGGCGUGCCUAAUACAUGCAAGUCGAGCGAACAGACGAGGAGCUUGCUCCUCUGACGUUAGCGGCGGACGGGUGAGUAACACGUGGAUAACCUACCUAUAAGACUGGGAUAACUUCGGGAAACCGGAGCUAAUACCGGAUAAUAUAUUGAACCGCAUGGUUCAAUAGUGAAAGACGGUUUUGCUGUCACUUAUAGAUGGAUCCGCGCCGCAUUAGCUAGUUGGUAAGGUAACGGCUUACCAAGGCAACGAUGCGUAGCCGACCUGAGAGGGUGAUCGGCCGCGCUGGAACUGAGACACGGUCCAGACUCCUACGGGAGGCAGCAGUAGGGAAUCUUCCGCAAUGGGCGAAAGCCUGACGGAGCAACGCAGCGUGAGUGAUGAAGGUCUUCGGAUCGUAAAACUCUGUUAUUAGGGAAGAACAAAUGUGUAAGUAACUAUGCACGUCUUGACGGUACCUAAUCAGAAAGCCACGGCUAACUACGUG